ACCUUUUGGAAUAUUAAAAAUUUAUUUCUAAUCAAGUUUUUAUUCUAUAUGGCCUUAGGAAAAGAAGAAACUAUGGUCUGUGGUCACAUAAAACAGCUUCCAGAGUGACUUUAAAUCUCUGCAUUUCCCAGGCCUGAGACUCAGCACGGAGCAUCCAAGGCACUCCUAGUCUGUUGAGGCACAGCCUCCACUGUGAGUCCUCCCCCUAUUUCCAUACUCACAUGAUUGAGUGUCUCUCUCAACUUGUCUGCUGGGGACCCUCUGGGGAUGGAUCCUGUGCUUGACUUUCAUGCUGUUCGUCUGAAGCUCUGAAACACUUCCUACCACUUCACAUCUCUUCUUUGGGGGGCAGGCCCUGCACCAACCAGCCAGAAGCUUUUUUUUAAAACCACAUGUUGUCAUGACAAUUGGCCACUUGAUUUCAAACUGACUUCACAGCACAAACGUGACUAUUUCCUGAGGAACAAGAAUACUGAUUUGUCCCCUGAACUGAAAAGGGAUGCCAUGUGUGUGGUCUCUAGCUCAACAUCAGAGCACUAGAUUAGGAGUCAGGAAACAGCUCAGACGCCAGUUAGGUCAGGAACUCUACGGAUCGUGAUCUCUUCCUCAGAGGACACUCACCUGAGGUCACUUCCAACCCAGAAGGUCUACAAUUCCACAGGUUAAUCUCUUCAUCCUGGAGGAAAUCUCUGGAAAGUUCCAGAGUGGCUCAGUUCAGUACUUCUACCAGGCAAGCAGCUUAUUUUCCUCCUGUUAUUCUCCAAGAGGAAAGUAAGGGGAGAAUGAAAUACACAAAGAACAAGAUGCAUUGUACCGUAAACUUUCUUAGAAAUAGUUUUUCCUCCCACCCUUCAAAAUUGGAUCGUAUUAUUCACUGUUCUUAACCUUUUUAGAGUCACAUGUCUCUCUGAGGAUCUAAUAAAAGCUAUGAACACUCUUCCUAAUGCCUACAUGUGAACACACACAGACAAUAUUGUGUUUGAUUUCAAGGGAUUCAUAAACCCUAGGUAAUAACUCCUAUUUCUGAGCUUGUGCCUCAGGAUCAACAUUUCUUGCACACCUGUCGCCCUCAGGGACUAGUCCCAUAACUCCUGGUAUUUACUCUCAUUCCUCCAAGUGUUGCCAAACAAAUGCCUCUUCGACACAUCUAUCCUAUGAUGAGUCCUUACUCUGGAAUUUCUCAUCAGAGCCCACCUUCCUGUCUGAGGAAGCUCUGUAAUCUGCAACUCAUUUUAAGAACUGACAAGGAAGUAGAACCAGAUUAGAUGCUACACUACUAGCUGUUCUAGUGCUGAACUCCUCCUGGCUUCUUGGUAAUGAAGAUCUCCACCCAUCCUCCCUCUACCAUCCCCUAACCGCCCCACUUCCCAAAUGUCAUUCUGUCUCCCCUCAAUGUAAAA